GGAUUGAUGAUGACUUCCAUAUAUGCAUUCCUUGGAAAGCUGAACAAAAUGAGUGGAAAACUCUAUACCGUCAUCCUCAUCGAACUGAGGUCC
ensembl:snoRNA SNORD116 Small nucleolar RNA SNORD116